UCAGUGAGAGUGGAUCUGAAGCCUCAGUGCCUAUAGCAAAAUGGGAGCUGGAGACAGGAGAGUCCCCUAGAAGUUCUCCAGCCAGGAACUGGACUGUGAAGUACUCGUGCACAAUGAGAAGGACUUUGCCUCAGACAAGGAUCCAGCCACACAUACUCGGUCCCAGAAGCCAGGCUGAAGACCGCUCACCAUUUGCUGUUACCUUCCUGGCGGAGUGUUCACCGGAUUGCCAGACAUGGCCAUCAGGCCUGUCUGUCUAUCCUGGAAAUAGAUACAUAGAUAGGGCUUCAAACUCACAGAGGUAUCCCUCCCUCUCUGCCCCUGGAUUAAUUGAUGUGGGAAGAUCUAUUAAAAUUAAGGAUGAGACCGUUCCCUGGCCAGGGAGGGUACCCUAGACCGUAUAAAAUGGAGAAAGCUACCUGAACGGUAGAAUGUAUUCACUUGCUGUCUUAGAGGGCAUAGGAUUUCCUGGAGCUGGAAUUACAGAUGACUGUGAGUCACCUGAAAUGACAUUCUCUUCAAGAAUGGAAAGUGCACUUAACUACUAAGCCACCUUUCCGGGCUCCGCUGUCUGCUA
rnacentral:lncRNA from 1 species